AUUGAACGCUAGCGGCAGGCCUAAUACAUGCAAGUCGAACGGUGUCUUCGGACAUAGUGGCGCACGGGUGCGUAACACGUAUGCAACCUACCUUACAUUGGGGGAUAGCCUUUCGAAAGGGAGAUUAAUACCGCAUAAGACAGUAGCUGGGCAUCCAGCAGCUGUUAAAGAUUUAUCGAUGUAAGCUGGGCAUGCGUCCAAUUAGCUAGUUGGUGAGGUAACGGCUCACCAAGGCAAUGAUUGGUAGGGGAACUGAGAGGUCAAUCCCCCACACUGGCACUGAGAUACGGGCCAGACUCCUACGGGAGGCAGUAGUAGGGAAUAUUGGGCAAUGGACGCAAGUCUGACCCAGCCAUGCCGCGUGCAGGAUGAAGGCGUUAUGCGUUGUAAACUGCUUUUAUACAGGAAGAAACGACUCUUGCGAGAGGCAUUGACGGUACUGUAUGAAUAAGCACCGGCUAACUCCGUGCCAGCCGCCGCAGUAA
rnacentral:rRNA from 1 species